CACUGAAGACUUGACACCGGCGGAAUCGGACGUCCACUGUCUUUGGCAGAAUUACCCAGGUGUUAUCUUAUGCAAACGUGUUCGCCAUCAGAUGAUGCUGACCAUCCUGUCGAUGAGAAUGAGUCCGCAUCGCUGGAGGACCAGACUUAUUUCCGUUUCCAAACGGCCGGAGAGGCACAGUGUCGAGACAAUAACGCCCAGAAGUUAUUGAAAUGAAUCGAGCUGGCAGCAGAAGAAACAGGACGAACGCUAGCAGCGUUAGACUUCACCGCAGAGGGAAGGAAGGGAAACAGAAGAGCAAACAAUGAAAAGACCAGAGUGAUGAAAGAGAGGUCCAGACAUGAAGGAGGCACGCAUUCAAACACACACGUACAACGGCACCUAGAGUCUGUCUGCGGUCUACCACUACUCUGACUCACACGCACAUGCCUGAUACGGGCAGCAGAUAAAGAGGGAGACGUCAUUCCAGCUGUGAGGAGUCAGAAGUAGUCAACAUACACACACACACACACACACACACACACACACACACACACACACACACACACACACACACACACACACACACACACACACACAGCCGGAGGCGCGUGAGCAGGUGAGCAUUAAGUCAGGCAGCUAAACAGAUCACGUCGCGGUAUGAUAUCUGCAGACAGGCAGACAGAGGAGGCCGGUCUGUACCUGCAGGCAGAGAGCAACAACUCACAGCACCCUCGCCAGGAAUUUCCUCCCCCUCCUGAGUGGGAGUGAGAAAAAGAGCGAGAGAGAGAGAGAGACGGAGAAGGGGAGACAGACAUAAACUUGGGUUUCCACUGAAGGGUUUUUAUGCAAACCGAAUAGUUAAAGCCUAAUUUAAAAACUCACUAGCAAAUUUUCUUUCUUUUCUUACAUUUUUUUCCACAUACGUAAAACAGUUUAAAAAAACCCAGAGCUCAUAAACAUAUUGUAGACCUAAGAGGACAGUGGUAGAGUAGAGAAAGAAAUACUCCUACGUAGGCACAAAGUAGCACAAAGAUGUUCCCAACAUGCCUCCUCCUUGGGUCGCAUUUUUAGCCCAACAUUCUCCCUUCACAUCAGCUGAUGAAAGGACAUCCCUCAACAUUAAUAAAGAACAGCACAUUCACACGCUACUGUAAUAUCGAGUACAGAUGGUUCUUUUGUUACUUUGGAGUCAUUUGAUCACCUCCAGUAUAAUUUGUCAUUCUGGAAUUACUAAGGUGUUUUGACAGUGCUGUCACAGUGACGGUACUAAUUGUGUAACGUUGACAGUAUACGUUACACAAACUUGUUCUGCUAGCGUUAUUGUUAAUGCUCCUUGGAGCAGCUUUGACAUUUUUUUCUUUCAUUCACAAUCUGCUCAUCAUAUGCAGCCUUUGUCUGUGGCGUCGUGUAUCACAUUCAUAGUAAUUUCCCUUUGGGAGAUGCCCGUUGCCGUUUUGGCUUUCUACUGAGCAGCUUCACUGCAUCAACUGUGGCUUAUGUUGUUGCUCAAGACUAACUCAACAGUAGUGACUAAAUAAGAGGGCUAUCAGUGUGUGUGUGUGUGUGUGUGUGUGUGUCCUGCACAGAAGUGGUCCAGCAAUUUACUGCCCUUCUAAAGUCACAAACUUGCUUCUCUUCUCUUCCAUCUACCCUUGAAUUUAAAUAGUUUUACCCAUUAGGCAGACUGUUCAUGUUCUGUGAGCAUUAUUCCUUAGCUGAGGUUUUUUUCUUGUCUUAUUCAAAGCUCUUUUAUAUUAGCCUUUAUAUAGCCAUAAAAACGCCUCCUGAAAUUUGUACAAGUCACAUCUCUGGUUAAAUGUCAGAGCUGUCUGUGCCAUUAAGGCCAGCAUGUUUGAAGGAAGGACACCCUUGCCUGCCCUCCCUUCUCUGUCUCUUCUCAUUCUCCUCACUCUCUCCCUUCUCAUUCCUCUCUCCCCUUAGCUCCCUCGUCAUCUACCACCCCCCUCCAACUUCACCCAGGCUGGUUUGAGGGCUAAUGUGCAGACCUUGUCAUUCAGAUUAGGGCCACAAUGUCAGCUCAGAGCCGUUCUCUCUCUAGUUGCGUGUCUGGGUUUUUUUCUUUCCUACUGUCACCCUCGUCCUGCGGCCAGUGAAGACCUUAUAAAGCAGCAUUACUUCUCAUCCACUUCUGUCAAUUCCAACACUGUCACUCAAAUAACUGUUCGGGAGAGUGGAGAGAGGCCGAGUUAGCGGUGUCCCCACCAGCAAGGACUGUGCUUUUUGGCCCGAGUUUAGAUGACAUGUCAUCAGCUAGCAAACGGGAAUUUGAUUGAGGUAAUUUGAGGUUUUAGGUUUCUUUUGCUCACAAAUGACAAGCUUUUCAGAGGACUGAGAACUACACGGGGAAUGACAAAGUAGAAGCAGCUCUUGUGAUCCAAAGAAGAAGAGAAGCAGCACGAUAUUUGCUGUCAGGCGUGUAGUAGAAAUUCAAGUCUUGUUUUUAAAAGUCUUCAGUUAUUAACACUCAUUGUGUUUUGUUUAAUAGUAAAAACUAUCAGAGUCGCAGUGUUAUUCUUAACUUUUAGUUUUCUGUAUGAAAAUGAGCAUUUGGCAGGUCAUGAGAUAUCCACCACAUCAUCUUAGUCACUCUUCAUCCUGCUUUAAAGGAGUUCCAGCACCAUAUUUAUCAUCCGACCGUAUCUUGACUCACUGCCACGGUUUUAUUGUCAAGUCGUAUCUAAUUGCUCCAGCAGCUCUGUGGUAUUUGAUUGUUGUGCUUCUCAGAAACUGCCGCUUUUUUGUUUUCAUGGUAAUCAACAAUGAUUCAGCAGUGUGUAAUAAAACCUUAGUGCAAGAUGGUGGACAGUUUCCUUACUGGUAUCGGUGCUUCAUCCACAGUGCCACAUCAUAGCGGAACAACAGACACUGUUGAUCUGGGUGAGUCGACAGUUUCAUACCCGACGUCUUCCUCAUCCUCCACCUUGCACAAAGCCCUCAAGGCUCUCUGGUGCCUCUCUAGAGGUCACACUGUUGUGCUUUAACACAGCAUAUGGUGACUAGCUGCCUCCACCCAGGUGCUGUAUUUACUAAAAACCUGCUAUGAGUCAGGAGUUUCAAGAUGACUUCCCUCUUCUAACUGCUACUUGCAGUGAAGUUAAAUGUGUUCCCACACACUGGCACUGUCUUUGGUUUCAUAAUAACCAUGUGUCAUGGAAGGUAAUAGUGCAUACAGCACCCGGUGCUAUUUCCUUUAAGAAGAGGUGGGGCACUGCCAGUACUGCUUCUUUUUUACAAGGGCAGUGAUAGAGGAAAUAUAUUUAUUUAUUUAUUUUUAUCAGACUUUUUGUUCCUUCAUAUGAACCUUUUUUCAUUUCUUCUAUCCUCAGGUACAGUAUGUGAAUGGCUAACAUGAGGUGCAAAGAAUGAGGUCAAAAAGCAGAAUGAAGUAUUCAUGAAGUAUGCAUGUAUAAAUAUUUAUCAGAAGGUGUUGUGAAUUUAAAACUCUAAAAGUAAAACCACUUAUGUAAAAGAAUAAAGAUAAAGAAUAAUAUUUGUCCGUAGUUAUCUGAUAAGCCAUAGAUAUAGAAUAGUAUACAUCUGUAGUUAUCUGAUAAGUCUACAUGGAAAAGUAUGACUUUUACAGUGUCCUUCCCGCUCAGAGAAUGAAAGAGUGAUUUAGUGAGAGAGGGGGAGAAGUAAGAAGCCUCUCCGCCCACAGAAAAGACUUGCUCCCUCUGCAUCUCUAAGCAGACUGUCAUCCCUGGUCACCAUCAGGUCUUUGCUCGCCCCAGUGAACAUUCAACGCUGUCGGUGAGUUUCUGCCAAGCUAAGAAAACCAUCGACCGUUGAUUGUACCCUGUGGCCAGCCCUUUUGUCACUCAGUGUUUCAAAGAAAAAGAAGGAAAAAGAGGUAAGACACGAGCAGAAACCUGCACACAGGCAUGGCCAAUGACUUCUCGAAAAAAUCCCAUGAAGAAGACUGCAUCCAGCGAAAAAGUACUUUCAGCUUCCAAAGCACAGCAAAGGUCACAAUCAACAUUCAUUGCUGUCGGUGGGUUUAACUGUGUGGAAGAGCUCACUGAACGAUGAAUGCAACUGUGUCCCAGAUCUCAUCCGAAUGUCACAAGGAAUAGCGUCACGAUAUGCUGAUGAUGGCAUUAUUUAUUUCUCCGCCUGACACCCCCCCCCCCCCUCGCCCUCCUACCGACAACAGGCCCACACAGGCAGUGUGAAUUGACAGGCAGUUCAGAUUGUAUCUAGAUCGCGCUUCCUGAGUCGUAGGGGUCUGAGUCUAGUUAAACAAGAGGAGGUAGAAGAAAAAACAUGCAAGAGAUGGUUGGAAGACAAUGACCUUUAAAAGAAAUAUAGACAGAGAGAAUAUGGGGUGCGUUGCAUCUAGGUUAUUAUAAAUGAUUUAGUUGUUGUAAAUAUUACAUGAAAGAAAAUGUUGAAUAUGAAUAGAUGCAUUUGAAAAUGACGUGACCUUUUUGGGAUUUAAAAAAAAAAGUCAUAUGAACAAUUUUCCGGAUAAGACCAUCGGCUAAACUCACAUUUAAAUCUAGAUGUCAGUUUUUCCUUUUUUUUUUUAUUUCAGUCUGUUUAAGACAGAUACUUUGAUGGCCUUCAAGUGGUAAAAAUAUCAUUUUACCAUCAGCUGUUUAUAUAAUGUGAAAUAAAAUAUGAACUUGCUUUUCAUUCAUGUUUUUUCUGUAGUUAUCUCAGAAGCUUAAUUUUGUGUUUGUGCAUGCUAUUUGGUUUGUUGUAUUUUAUCAAAUAAAGUCACAAGUCCAGCGCUCAA